AAGAAAGAGAGAGAGAAUGUGUGUGUAAAACCUUAUUCUGAACUUUGAGUCCAUUGCCUGUGGAAGUGGAUGGAAGAUUGGUCUUCUGGAAUCAUGGUUGGUCAGUGCAUAGAUUAAAAUUCUAAAUUAUUUGUCUUUACAAUAUUGUUAUUGUUAUAAAAAUUGUUCGCCUGAUUCUACUAAUUUUAUUCUGUAUUAGUUCCAUAAGUCUUUCCAGGUUUCUCUGAAACCAUCCUGCUUUUGAUUUCUUAUAGCAUAAUUAUAUUCUAUUACAUCCAUACACCAUAAUUUGUUCAAUCAUUCCUCAGUGGAUGGGCAUCCCCUUGAAUUCUAGUUCUUUGCCCCUACAAACAGUGCUGCUAUAAAUGUCUUUCUGCAUGUGGAUCCUUUCCGUCUUUCUUUGAUCUUUUUCUUUGGGAUAUAGAGCCAAUAGUAAUAUUGUUGGGUCAAAGGGUGUAUACAACUUGUUGAUAAAACUGUCCAGAUAAGGUAAGGUUUAAAAACAAAAGCACAGCACAUGAGGAUUCCUUAACAAGCUUUACUUUACCUGUUUUGCUUUCUGUCUCCUAGUAAAGUUGCAUUUCCUUUUGAAGUUUCUCUUAUGAUCCAUCAUCAAGUUCCAUCCUGUUUAACAAACCUCAUUUCUUCACCAUUGAACCAUUUUCUAACCCACCACAAUUUUUAUUAUUCCUCUUGUUUAAAAGUGCUAUUGGAGAUUUCCUUUGUAGGUUGAAGGUGAAAAUGGAAUGCUUGAACUUGAAGUUCUUGGAACAAGAAUCCCCUUCUUCAUUUAUUCAUAUGUUGUGAUAAAUAAAAUAACAUUAGGUUCACCAGGAAACCUGGGGAAAAAGCAGGAGUAUUUUAAAUUGUUGGUUACACUUGAGAAGAAUGUAUUCCAUUUUGAAAGUUGUUAGUAAAAAAAUUUGUUAAAAACAAAUACACAAACUAAACAAAAUGUUAGACAACACAAAACCAAGAUUCCAUAUUAAUAAGAAAAAUGCUAAAAAGCAAACAGGUCACAGUGCUGAAAGUUUGUAAAAGCAAUUUCUGAUUUAAGUAGUUCUUCCAUGUUGCAAUAUAACAUUCGUCCUAAGAAAGCUUAAAGAAAAGGAAGAACUACUAAAUGUCCUUAAGAACUGAAGGCAAAAUAAAUAAAGAAGUAGAGACUCAUUUAUCCCUAGUUAAGACUCAUAGCCCCAGGGGAGUGCUGUUGACUUAAUGUCCGUGCUAUCUCUACUCUGGACAUCCUUCUACUCCUACUACCAGAAUCUUAAACUCUCCACAGUGGCUGGAUUCUUGAUAACUUACACCCACCCCAAACUUAAUGCAGUAUUCCAGACAGGACUGAUAGGAUCAAAGUAUGGUGGGCUAUCAUCUCCUUGCUUCUGGAAGGAAUUUCAUUUUAUUACAUUGGACCCAAUAUUCUGCCUGAUGAAGAUGCUUUUAGAACUUGAUUCGCUAAUCCAGUGUGUUAGCCAUCUCUGCAAAUUUGAUGAACAUACCAUCUGUGACUGCUAGAAAUGUGAGAUCAAGAAGAGCACCCUGGGAGCUCCCCACUGGAAGCCUCCGGCCACCAUGUUGACAUUGCACCAUUGACAGCAAGUCUACCAGAGCUGAAUCCAUCUAAUUAUUUUGUUGUCUAAUCUAUAACUCUCCAUUCUUCUCCAGGAAAAUAUCAUGGUAUAUUUCAUCAAACUUUGCUAAAAAUCUGGCUAAAUCCAAUCCAUAAUUUGGCUCUCAUCUGCUGGUUUAGAAAUUUUAUCAAGAAAGGAAAUGAGCAUUUCCUCAUUAGAUUUGGCUGUUUUGAUAAAGUUAGACUGCCUGUUAAUAAUUAUCACUUUCCAAUCCACAUGUUCACCAGAAUUAUCCAUUUUAGAAUUUUCAUCGGAGUCAAAGUGGACUAUAGUUUGCAACUUCAGUUCUUUUAAUAAGCCAGAUGACCCUUUCCUCAAACAUGGCCUGGAUAGCACUUUUAAAAACUGGUGGGUUAGAUGGGGAAGUUCUCUUGUUUGACCACCUCAGUUAAAGGGUCUGUCUCCAUUAGAGUCUUUCUUGUGGAGACAUGUCAGAACUAUCAUGUGUGCAUCAAAAUCUCAUUCAUGGAUGUCCUUAAGGCUAGGAUUACAAAUACAAUCCUUUCAGGCACUGAUUAGCACUGAUAAAAGUUCAAAAAUCAACUAAAAGUGAUAUAUAGCAGACGGUGGUGGGUAUGAUGAAUUUUAAUAAACAGUAGUAUAAUAAAAGUUGAAAUAAUUAUGAUGAAUUUUAAUAAGAAACAACAGUAUUUUAAAAAUUCAAAUAAUCUUUCAAAUAUUGUUUUGUGUAAGUUUGUAGCAUUUAGAUUUUUGAGGCUAUUAAAGCUUAAAACUGCACUAAGACAUUUAGGACACCCAGUAUUUGUCUUUCUCUAAUCUUAUGGUCUACCAUUUUCCAUGAUCUUUCAGAGAUUUACCAAUAGAAGCUUAGCAAUCACAUCUACCGGUUCUUUGGGGAACCAAGCAUAUAAUUCAUUUCAACCAGGUAGUUUGAAUUAAAGGGCAGUUAGGGGAUUUCUUAUUAUCUCCUUUCUUUAUCUUGCACAUCUUUUACUCUGUCUUUUCCAGUAUACAGAUCAUUGUAUUUUUCAUCUAAGAAAAAAUAAAAAAUCAAAACAUAGCUUUUUAAAGUACUGUUUACUUUGUCUACCUGAAAAUUGGUGGAAUCAUAUGAACCAAACUUUCUAGUGUAUACCCAUGCCCUCAACUGUAUCUCUACAUCUCCUUUAGUAGAUGACCUUUUCUCUAUAAUUUAAUUUACAAGAUUAAACCUUAGAUUCCCAGCUCCUUCAUCUCCCUCCUUGAAUAUCUCAAAACCUUUGCCUUCCCCAACCCUCUCCUCAUUCCCUUGGCCAGAGCUUUUUUUCAUCUGAGAUAUUCUCUCUCCUAUGCUCUGGGACUCUUAUUUUAUUAGUCACACUCUUUCACUCUUAAUUUCCAGUGAUUCCUCUCUAUUAAUUCCUCUUCC
ensembl:lncRNA